UGCAUCAGGAGAACGUUCAUUUUCAAAAUUGAAACUAAUUAAAACUUAUUUGCGAUCCACUAUAUCCCAAGAACGUCUGGAUGGCUUGGCUCUACUGGCAAUUGAGGGAACUGUCCUGGACGAUUGCAACAUAAACAGUGUUCUGGAUGAUUUUGCGAAAAUUAAAGCUCGGAAAAUACGAUUUUGAAAAUACAUUGCAUUAUGGAACAGCACAGUGUGCAUAUCAAAUGGACUUCACAGUACUUUGGAAAGGCCAAGCUUCUCAACAUGAUUGAAUGCUGUCCUGCAGUCUAUCCUGAAAGGCUAGGCACAUACCCUGUAUUUCCGAAGAUUUCCGAAGAUUUUGAUGCAGUGUUCGAAAUUCCUCCACACAUCCAAUAGUCAUGCGGAGUAUCCUUCCAAAGUUGCGUGGAUGUGAAGAGACACGACAGUUCCCCUGAUGUACCAUGGGCGACCUACUUGUGAUGUGGACCUGAACCUCCGCCAUGUAGCAGACAACCCCCCUCAGGUCUUGCGGAGUAUCCUUCCCAAGUUGCUUGAAUCAUCAUAGAUGAAAAGGGACACGACAGUUCCCCUGCUGUACCAUGGGCGACCUAACACAAUACCACUGCAUCUCAUAUUUUACAUUUUAUUUACUAAUAAUUUAAAGAAAAA